rnacentral:rRNA from 1 species
GACGAACGCUGGCGGCGUGCCUAAUACAUGCAAGUCGAGCGGAUUAGAUAGAAAGCUUGCUUUCAAUCUGGUUAGCGGCGGACGGGUGAGUAACACGUAGGCAACCUGCCUGUAAGACUGGGAUAACAUUCGGAAACGAAUGCUAAUACCAGAUACGCGAUUUCCUCGCAUGGGGAGAUCGGGAAAGACGGAGCAAUCUGUCACUUGCAGAUGGGCCUGCGGCGCAUUAGCUAGUUGGUGGGGUAACGGCCUACCAAGGCGACGAUGCGUAGCCGACCUGAGAGGGUGAUCGGCCACACUGGGACUGAGACACGGCCCAGACUCCUACGGGAGGCAGCAGUAGGGAAUCUUCCGCAAUGGACGAAAGUCUGACGGAGCAACGCCGCGUGAGUGAUGAAGGCUUUCGGGUCGUAGAGCUCUGUUGCCAGGGAAGAACACUUGGGAGAGUAACUGCUCUUAAGGUGACGGUACCUGAGAAGAAAGCCCCGGCUAACUGCGUGCCAGCCGCCGCAGUAAAAC